AUUGAACGCUGGCGGCAGGCCUAACACAUGCAAGUCGAACGGUAACAGGAAGCAGCUUGCUGCUUCGCUGACGAGUGGCGGACGGGUGAGUAAUGUCUGGGAAACUGCCUGAUGGAGGGGGAUAACUACUGGAAACGGUAGCUAAUACCGCAUAACGUCGCAAGACCAAAGAGGGGGACCUUCGGGCCUCUUGCCAUCGGAUGUGCCCAGAUGGGAUUAGCUAGUAGGUGGGGUAACGGCUCACCUAGGCGACGAUCCCUAGCUGGUCUGAGAGGGUGACCAGCCACACUGGAAAUGAGACACGGUCCAGACUCCUACGGGAGGCAGCAGUGGGGAAUAUUGCACAAUGGGCGCAAGCCUGAUGCAGCCAUGCCGCGUGUAUGAAGAAGGCCUUCGGGUUGCAAAGUACUUUCAGCGGGGAGGAAGGCGAUAAGGUUAAUAACCUUGUCGAUUGACGUUACCCGCAGAAGAAGCACCGGCUAACUCCGUGCCAGCAGCCGCAGUAA
rnacentral:rRNA from 1 species